GAUGAACGCUGGCGGCGUGCCUAAUACAUGCAAGUCGAGCGAACGGACGAGAAGCUUGCUUCUCUGAUGUUAGCGGCGGACGGGUGAGUAACACGUGGAUAACCUACCUAUAAGACUGGGAUAACUUCGGGAAACCGGAGCUAAUACCGGAUAAUAUUUUGAACCGCAUGGUUCAAAAGUGAAAGACGGUCUUGCUGUCACUUAUAGAUGGAUCCGCGCUGCAUUAGCUAGUUGGUAAGGUAACGGCUUACCAAGGCAACGAUGCAUAGCCGACCUGAGAGGGUGAUCGGCCACAUGGGAACUGAGACACGGUCCAGACACUUACGGGAGGCAGCAGCGGGGAAUCUUACGCGAUGGGCGAAAGCCUGAUGGAGCAACGCCGCGUGAGUGAUGAAGGUCUUCGGAUGGGAAAACUCUGUUAUUAGGGAAGAACAUAUGUGUAAGUAACUGUGCACAUCUUGACGGUACCUAAUCAGAAAGCCACGGCUAACUACGUG
rnacentral:rRNA from 1 species